CUGAAUCCCUGGCUGAACACUCAGGCAGUUUGAAGAAGGCUGGUCACUUGCUUUAAAGCCUGCAUCCUGGGUCACAGCAGCUUUCCUAGGCUGGCUGCCAGAUUCACAAUUCCUCCCUUGCCCAUGCCGAGACGGCACUGCGAAAAGGAGGCGUUUUCCAGCAAUUGUUGAAAGGAAAAUUCAGGAGGAGAUUGGAUAUGCAUCUAGCUGGGGUCAUCUAGACCCAGCACUCUUUCCAGCCUAUGCAGGGGGUCGGACUCGAUGAUCUAUUGAGGUCCCUUCCGAUCCUAACAUCUAUGAAUCUAUGAAAAAGCUGUAGAAGAGCAAGGGCAUCAGUGGAAGCAUGGCACAGCAGCCUCGAUGUGCUAACUGACUCAACGCAGGCUCCCAAGUAUGGAAAUCACACAAGAAAUGCUUAAUCAAACUGCACAAUAGGCUGAAGGACCCGGGAACGUAGCAGCAAUUGAGCUCAACUACCUCUCAGCACAGCUCUUCUCUUCAUUGGCAGCUCAGAGGCUAGCUGUCCCUGUCGUCCUGGAAUGGAAAUAUCUCAGGACUGGGGCGUACACGUUGCCCUUCAAUAACCGGGGUUUAGCGGCCAACUGACCGCACGUCUGCUUUUCUGCCGUUAUAUCAGCGAUGCAGUGCAGGGAUAACCAUUCAGACACGCGCUGCGAUGUGCUGGGACAGACCAUUAGUACUUCUUAACCUGGGGCAAUGGAUGUGGACGUCUGAACCGCUGCACUUUGUCCUGGGAGAAAAUGGUCAGUCCUAGGACGUCUGCAACCAAAGAGUCCUUUCCGUUGGAGCUGAAAAGCAUCCAGACGAAGGGAAGGACAGCAAAAGUGCACGGCGACACCCGGGCUAUUCCCCUAAGAAUUUCUCCGAAAUCAGUAACAUUUGUCAGGUGACUUAUUUGCAUUUUUUUUCCAGCGUGCGGUAACUUUUCAGUAAAUACGGUAAUUUUGAGCCUCUAAA